UACGUAGGGGGCAAGCGCUGUCCGGAAUCAUUGGGCGUAAAGCGCGUGUAGGCGGCCAGAAAAGUCCGCUGUGAAAACUCGAGGCUCAACUUCGAGCUGUCGGUGGAAACUUUCUGGCUAGAGUCCGGAAGAGGAGAAUGGAAUUCCUGGUGUAGCGGUGAAAUGCGCAGAUAUCAGGAAGAACACCCGUGGCGAAGGCGGUUCUCUGGGACGGUACUGACGCUGAGACGCGAAAGCGUGGGGAGCGAACAGG
rnacentral:rRNA from 1 species